UCGAGCGGAAGAACGGGAGCUUGCUCCUUGAUUCGACGGCGGACGGGUGAGUAAUGACUAGGAAUCUGCCUGGUAGAGGGGGACAACUGUUYGAAAGGAACGCUAAUACCGCAUACGUCCUACGGGAGAAAGCAGGGGACCUUCSGGCCUUGCGCUAUCAGAUGAGCCUAGGUCGGAUUAGCUAGUUGGUGAGGUAAUGGCUCACCAAGGCGACGAUCCGUAACUGGUCUGAGAGGAUGCUCUCUUUAGAAGGAAAACUGAGACACGGUCCAGACUCCUACGGGAGGCAGCAGUGGGGAAUAUUGGACAAUGGG
rnacentral:rRNA from 1 species